rnacentral:rRNA from 1 species
AUCGAACGCUGGCGGCAGGCCUAACACAUGCAAGUCGAGCGAGCGGCGGCCGGGUGAGUAACGUAUGGGGCUCUGCCCGAUCGAGGGGGAUAACUACUGGAAACGGUGGCUAAUACCGCAUACUAUCGGAUGAACCCAUAUGGGAUUAGCUAGUAGGUGGGGUAAAGGCUCACCUAGGCGACGAUCUCUAGCUGGUCCGAGAGGAUGAUCAGCCACACGUGGACUGAGACACGGCCCAGACUCCUCCGGGAGGCAGCAGUGGGGAAUAUUGCGCAAUGGGCGCAAGCCUGAUGCAGCCAUGCCGCGUGUAUGAAGAGGGCCUUCGGGUUGUAAAGUACUUUCAGCGGGUAGGCGUUACCCGCAGAGAAAGCACCGGCUAACUCCGUGCCAGCAGCCGCGGUAAUUC